ACGGAGGUGGCCGAGUGGUUAACUCGAUGGACUGCUAAUCCAUUGUGCUCUGCACGCCGUGGGGUUCAAAUCCCAUCCUCGCUG